AGAGUUUGAUCCUGGCUCAGGACGAACGCUGGCGGCACGCUUAACACAUGCAAGUCGAACGAGAGAAGAGGAGCUUGCUUUUCUGAUCUAGUGGCGGACGGGUGAGUAACACGUGAGCAAUCUGCCUUUCAGAGGGGGAUACCGAUUGGAAACGAUCGUUAAUACCGCAUAACAUAAUUGAACCGCAUGAUUUGAUUAUCAAAGAUUUAUCGCUGAAAGAUGAGCUCGCGUCUGAUUAGCUAGUUGGUAAGGUAACGGCUUACCAAGGCGACGAUCAGUAGCCGGACUGAGAGGUUGAUCGGCCACAUUGGGACUGAGACACGGCCCAGACUCCUACGGGAGGCAGCAGUGGGGAAUAUUGCACAAUGGAGGAAACUCUGAUGCAGCGAUGCCGCGUGAGGGAAGAAGGUUUUAGGAUUGUAAACCUCUGUCUUCAGGGACGAAAAAAGACGGUACCUGAGGAGGAAGCUCCGGCUAACUACGUGCCAGCAGCCGCGGUAAUACGUAGGGAGCGAGCGUUGUCCGGAAUUACUGGGUGUAAAGGGAGCGUAGGCGGGAUCGCAAGUCAGAUGUGAAAACUAUGGGCUUAACCCAUAAACUGCAUUUGAAACUGUGGUUCUUGAGUGAAGUAGAGGUAAGCGGAAUUCCUAGUGUAGCGGUGAAAUGCGUAGAUAUUAGGAGGAACAUCAGUGGCGAAGGCGGCUUACUGGGCUUUAACUGACGCUGAGGCUCGAAAGCGUGGGGAGCAAACAGGAUUAGAUACCCUGGUAGUCCACGCCGUAAACGAUGAUUACUAGGUGUGGGGGGACUGACCCCUUCCGUGCCGCAGCAAACGCAAUAAGUAAUCCACCUGGGGAGUACGACCGCAAGGUUGAAACUCAGAGGAAUUGACGGGGGCCCGCACAAGCAGUGGAGUAUGUGGAUUAAUUCGAAGCAACGCGAAGAACCUUACCAGGUCUUGACAUCGUAUGCAUAGCUCAGAGAUGAGUGAAAUCUCUUCGGAGACAUAUAGACAGGUGGUGCAUGGUUGUCGUCAGCUCGUGUCGUGAGAUGUUGGGUUAAGUCCCGCAACGAGCGCAACCCUUACUGUUAGUUGCUACGCAAGAGCACUCUAGCAGGACUGCCGUUGACAAAACGGAGGAAGGUGGGGAUGACGUCAAAUCAUCAUGCCCCUUAUGACCUGGGCCUCACACGUACUACAAUGGCUGUCAACAGAGGGAAGCAAAGCCGCGAGGUGGAGCGAACCCCUAAAAGCAGUCUUAGUUCGGAUUGUAGGCUGCAACCCGCCUACAUGAAGUCGGAAUUGCUAGUAAUCGCAGAUCAGCAUGCUGCGGUGAAUACGUUCCCGGGCCUUGUACACACCGCCCGUCACGCCAUGGGAGUCGGUAACACCCGAAGCCUGUAGUCUAACCGCAAGGAGGACGCAGUCGAAGGUGGGAUUGAUGACUGGGGUGAAGUCGUAACAAGGUA
rnacentral:rRNA from 1 species